UUACAAAUUUGGGAGCCUAUGUAU
rnacentral:siRNA from 1 species